rnacentral:rRNA from 1 species
UACGAAGGGGGGCUAGCGUUGCUCGGAAUCACUGGGCGUAAAGCGCACGUAGGCGGAUUGCUAAGUCAGGGGUGAAAUCCUGGAGCUCAACUCCAGAACUGCCCUUGAUACUGGCGGUCUCGAGUCCGGGAGAGGUGAGUGGAACUGCGAGUGUAGAGGUGAAAUUCGUAGAUAUUCGCAAGGACACCAGUGGCGAAGGCGGCUCACUGGCCCGGUACUGACGCUGAGGUGCGAAAGCGUGGGGAGCAAACAGG